rnacentral:rRNA from 1 species
GACGAACGCUGGCGGCGUGCUUACACAUGCAAGUCGAACGGAAAGGCCCUUCGGGGUCCUCGAGUGGCGAACGGGUGAGUAACACGUGGGUGAUCUGCCCUGCACUUUGGGAUAAGCCUGGGAAACUGGGUCUAAUACCGAAUAGGACCACGCGCUUCAUGGUGUGUGGUGGAAAGCUUUUGCGGUGUGGGAUGGGCCCGCGGCCUAUCAGCUUGUUGGUGGGGUAAUGGCCUACCAAGGCGACGACGGGUAGCCGGCCUGAGAGGGUGACCGGCCACACUGGGACUGAGAUACGGCCCAGACUCCUACGGGAGGCAGCAGUGGGGAAUAUUGCACAAUGGGCGCAAGCCUGAUGCAGCGACGCCGCGUGAGGGAUGACGGCCUUCGGGUUGUAAACCUCUUUCAAUAGGGACGAAGCGCAAGUGACGGUACCUAUAGAAGAAGCACCGGCCAACUACGUG